ACACAGCUGUGUGCAGAGGCAGUAAAACGGGGAAAUUGGAGAUGGAGAUACAGGCACAUAAACAGUAUCAGAAAGUCUCUAUUGUCUCCUUUCACUCUUUUCAGAACAACCAUGGUUAGAUCCAGAAAUCCAGGACUGUGGGCCAUUGGGUUCUGUAUCAAUUUUCAAAAGCUGACAUCAUAGAAUCACAGAAUGUUAGAAUUGGAAGGACAUGGAAUAUAAUCUUUCAUUUGAAGCCUGAACUCCUUUUUGUUUUUUACCUGGAUGACACUUUCUGAAAUUUGGAUUUGGGCUUUUGGGCACACAUGAAGAUAUUUACCACUCCUUUAUCACAUAGAGAAAAACAAAUCAGGCUAACUCUUUAAAAAAAUGUUUGCACUAUCACAUACAUACAGAAAAGAGCACUAAU
rnacentral:lncRNA from 1 species